rnacentral:rRNA from 1 species
AGUGAACGCUGGCGGUAGGCCUAACACAUGCAAGUCGAACGGCAGCACAGUAAGAGCUUGCUCUUACGGGUGGCGAGUGGCGGACGGGUGCGGAAUACAUCGGAAUCUACUUUUUCGUGGGGGAUAACGUAGGGAAACUUACGCUAAUACCGCAUACGACCUACGGGUGAAAGCAGGGGAUCUUCGGACCUUGCGCGAUUGAAUGAGCCGAUGUCGGAUUAGCUAGUUGGCGGGGUAAAGGCCCACCAAGGCGACGAUCCGUAGCUGGUCUGAGAGGAUGAUCAGCCACACUGGAACUGAGACACGGUCCAGACUCCUACGGGAGGCAGCAGUGGGGAAUAUUGGACAAUGGGCGCAAGCCUGAUCCAGCCAGACCGCGUGGGUGAAGAAGGCCUUCGGGUUGUAAAGCCCUUUUGUUGGGAAAGAAAAGCAGCAGGUUAAUACCCCGCUGUUCUGACGGUACCCAAAGAAUAAGCACCGGCUAACUUCGUG